rnacentral:rRNA from 1 species
AGUGAACGCUGGCGGUAGGCCUAACACAUGCAAGUCGAACGGCAGCACAGGAGAGCUUGCUCUCUGGGUGGCGAGUGGCGGACGGGUGAGGAAUACAUCGGAAUCUACUCUGUCGUGGGGGAUAACGUAGGGAAACUUACGCUAAUACCGCAUACGACCUACGGGUGAAAGCAGGGGAUCUUCGGACCUUGCGCGAUUGAAUGAGCCGAUGUCGGAUUAGCUAGUUGGCGGGGUAAAGGCCCACCAAGGCGACGAUCCGUAGCUGGUCUGAGAGGAUGAUCAGCCACACUGGAACUGAGACACGGUCCAGACUCCUACGGGAGGUAGCAGUGGGGAGUAUUGGACAAUGGGCGCAAGCCUGAUCCAGCCAUACCGCGUGGGUGAAGAAGGCCUUCGGGUUGUAAAGCCCUUUUGUUGGGAAAGAAAUCCAGCUGGCUAAUACCCGGUUGGGAUGACGGUACCCAAAGAAUAAGCACCGGCUAACUUCGUGCCAGCCGCCGCCGUAA